UACGGAGGUUGCGAGCGUUGUUCGGAAUUACUGGGCGUAAAGGGAGCGCAGGCGGUUUGGUCAGUCUGAAGUGAAAGCCCGGGGCUUAACCCCGGAAGGGCUUUGGAUACUGCCAAACUUGAGUACGUGAGAGGAGAGCGGAAUUCCAGGUGUAGCGGUGAAAUGCGUAGAUAUCUGGAGGAACACCGGUGGCGAAAGCGGUUCUCUGGCACGGUACUGACGCUGAGGCUCGAAAGCGUGGGGAGCGAACGGGAUUAGAUACCCCUGUA
rnacentral:rRNA from 1 species